GGGUGAUUAGCUCAGUUGGUAGAGCAGCUGACUCUUAAUCAGCGGGUCGCAGGUUCGAGACCUGCAUCACCCACCA
rnacentral:tRNA from 1 species